UUGAACGCUGGCGGCAGGCCUAACACAUGCCAGUCGAGCGGAUGAAGGGAGCUUGCUCCUGGAUUCAGCGGCGGACGGGUGAGUAAUGCCUAGGAAUCUGCCUGGUAGUGGGGGAUAACGUCCGGAAACGGGCGCUAAUACCGCAUACGUCCUGAGGGAGAAAGUGGGGGAUCUUCGGACCUCACGCUAUCAGAUGAGCCUAGGUCGGAUUAGCUAGUUGGUGGGGUAAAGGCCUACCAAGGCGACGAUCCGUAACUGGUCUGAGGGGAUGAUCAGUCACACUGGAACUGAGACACGGUCCAGACUCCUACGGGAGGCAGCAGUGGGGAAUAUUGGACAAUGGGCGAAAGCCUGUUCCAGCCAUGCCGCGUGUGUGAAGAAGGUCUUCGGAUUGUAAAGCACUUUAAGUUGGGAGGAAGGGCAGUAAGUUAAUACCUUGCUGUUUUGACGUUACCAACAGAAUAAGCACCGGCUAACUUCGUG
rnacentral:rRNA from 1 species